UGGGGAAUUUUGGACAAUGGGGGAAACCCUGAUCCAGCCAUCCCGCGUGUGCGAUGAAGGCCUUCGGGUUGUAAAGCACUUUUGGCAGGAAAGAAACGUCAUGGGUUAAUACCCCGUGAAACUGACGGUACCUGCAGAAUAAGCACCGGCUAACUACGUGCCAGCAGCCGCGGUAAUACGUAGGGUGCAAGCGUUAAUCGGAAUUACUGGGCGUAAAGCGUGCGCUGGCGGUUCGGAAAGAAAGAUGUGAAAUCCCAGAGCUCAACUUUGGAACUGCAUUUUUAACUACCGGGCUAGAGUGUGUCAGAGGGAGGUGGAAUUCCGCGUGUAGCAGUGAAAUGCGUAGAUAUGCGGAGGAACACCGAUGGCGAAGGCAGCCUCCUGGGAUAACACUGACGCUCAUGCACGAAAGCGUGGGGAGCAAGCAGG
rnacentral:rRNA from 1 species